CCAAACACCACCGUGUUGCCGCACUAGGCCACCCUGACCUUCUUCCCCUACCUUCCACUCACUCCCACCUCAUGCCCAAAGGAAAAACUAAGGAAACCAGCCUGUAGGUCACCCGCACCCCAGCACCACUCCCACCCGCUGUGUUCCUCCAGCUAGGCCCGCCCCCACCCCGUGCCAAAGGAAAAGCCAGGGAAGCAAACCUAUGGGGUUCUCGAACUAAAGCUUUAAUAAGAGCACAACAGGGAGAAGGAAAGGACGAGGCUGACCAGCCUCGCAGGGCUGUCUGUGGCAAAGUUUGGGCGGGAUGAACUGAUGCUCGGUGGAUAGAUUGGGGCGGAUGGGCGGGUCAGCAACCCAGAGCCAGCCAGCAGCAGCAACAGCAGCAGGUAGUAGCUAGCGUUGACGUCGACGCCCACGACGGGGGCGACCAGCCGGGGCCACCUGGGAGAUGGUGGCGAAUUGGAACAGUUCGCUGAGCAGCGUGUUAUUGUAGACAGUCACGUCCAGCAGCUCCGGGGUGAUGAGCCUCUGUGCGCCUCGGCGUUGGGCCUCAUUGCCUGCCAGCUCCAGCAGCCUGCGGGUCAGGAACUCCAGGAUGGCAGUCAGCAAGAUGGGCACCGUUUCGCUCAGCCGCCGGGCAUGGCCGCUCUCCCGAAGAUGGUGUUCCACCAGGCUCACAGAGAAGGUCAGCUCGGCUCUGGAGGUGCGGGAGCGGCGAGACGACAACGACGACGACGACGACCCUCGACGGCUGCCCUGUCUGGUCCUGGGCAUGCUGGCCUCGGAGUGCGACCUCACAGGCUGGUUCUGCUCCACCUGGCUGCUCUCUGCUGGCCUGCUGGGCUCUGGGCCUCCAGGCUGAUCCCAAGGGCCUCCUCUGCGUCUGGCUGCAAGUAUCCUAGCGACCCCUCAUGGUCGAAGUCGUCUCUUCUGUGCUCCCACUCCAGCUCCCACUGAUGACGUGUGGUGUGUGAUGGCUCCCAGCCAGCCCUCGCUAGGGGCGCUGUCGCCACCUUGACACCUUGGGCUGCUCAAGGAGCCUUCUAGGAGAGACAAAGACGUGAAGAGGAGCAACUCAGUGGUGCCAUUGAGAACCAAGCCCUUCACAACCCUCGGCUUCUAAGAAACUUGAGGUACUGAGGGAUUCGCGGGGAAAUUCUGUGGCUGAAGAGCUGAGACAUCUAAUAGCCACCUUGGAAAUAAAACUUCUGAUGGUGAAUCGCCAGCAAGAGAGUGCUGCUGCUCAACAGUCUCUCCUGGAUCUCUUAUUCUCAUAAUACUUUGAAGAAACGAAAGUCGAUACAAGGGGAGCGAGCGAGCGAUUGUUUCAUGGAAAUUCGCUGGGUGAAGCUGAUUGACAUUUGCAGCUUCAGUGACUACAUCUUCUUGCGUCCCCCUGUUCCUAAAGAUAAACCCAAAUAAACCCAAGGAUUUGUGUGA